CCUCACUCAGUGAAGCGCAAGCUAGCAAGUAGCCACGGCAGAAACGAACUUUGAAAAAGCUCAUGAACAAGCUGUGUUUGCUCUAAAACGUUUGAGUCUUGGGAAACUUUCGUCUUGGUGGCGGGAGUCGAGUGGCAACCAGCUUUGAGGCACAAUACUGCACCUACCAUGUUGGAGUGUGGCCCAGAGUUACGAUCUUCAAAAUACAGUGGAUCGGGAUAUCCCCAGUUUGCAAACACUGGCGGCCGGCCUCUUAUGAUGCUUGGCGGUAGUCAACUGGUUUGCCUCAACGAAUGUGCUUCUUCAUCACAACAUCAUCAUCUUCUAGUUUGGGAAGAUGGAAGCUCGCACUGCAGGCUACUUCCUGGCUUAUGCAAGAUGACGUAAGCACAACAGACGAAUGGGACUCCAAUAACUGGCAAUGAAAACAUCUGUCAGAAAGCGUAUCUAGCAAAUCCAGAGAACAGCGGCACUAAAUCCACUUUCCCCAUUUCGCUCGGAAAAAGAAUCUAAGCCCCGUGGUGACGACCAUUCUCUGCGCUCUCUUUGAUUUGACAUUCCAUUUUAUUACUCGUGGCCAGUGGGCUGGCUGCGCUUCCGUGGCAGGCCGACGUGGAGGGAGGCUAAUGCUGCCACAAAAGUGGCCCUCCAGUACGUCAAUGAGCAGAGCGCCGUAGUCACCACGGUCAAGGUUAUGAUGCCACCAGAGCCAUUUCUGUCGUAUUCUGUCACGCUGCCGGGGAACAAUUUCAGACCAGCGCUUAUCCCUUUUACUUGUCAUUUAAAUUCACAGAUUGGAUGUUACAUAAUGUAGUGGGGAGCAGUGUAGAUGAAUAAUAAAAUCAGCUUCUAAAUUUGUUUUUUCAUUGUUAAAAAGAAAGUUAUUUUGUUGCUGGCUUCCAUUUGGCAUCUUAUUAUUGUUAUUAUUAGUAGUGGUA